CCGGAGCCAUUGUCCUGCUCCGCUAAGCUGUGUGUGUGUAAAUGUACCGGAGGUAAAGAUAGAGCUACCGUGAAAGAGAAAUAGUCAGACUGUGAUCAAGCCUCCUUAGAAGCUAACAGAAUACAGAGAGUGACCUGAUGAAGCUCAGGAGUUCCUGGACCUUAACUAGAAACAACUGCUUGACUAAUGUUGUUAAUAUUAUGGAAUAUAUAAUAUGUUUAACUUCACUGGGCUGUGUAGACUGUAGGUCACUGCUCACUGCUGUACCUGGAAAGACAUAAAACACAGUGUUGGUUCUCAUAGUUAAGGUAUAAACACUAACAUUAUGUGAUAGAGGUUAAUAAUAUAUAUAUAUAUAUAUAUAUAUAUAUAUAUAUUAGUUAUAUGUAUGUAUAUGUAGUUAAUAUAGCAGUAUUUACCUGAGGAAAACGUCACAGAAAGCUGUAAUCCUGAUUGUUGUUGUUGUUCAUUUGUCCGUGAUUUCAGGUCAGACUCCCGCUCUAACAUGUCCGCUGGUGAAGUUUUUGCUUUAGAAGCAGUUAUUGAAUUAAUAUUGACGGUAGAAAUGAAGCUAAUCUCAGUAGCAGUGAGGAGCUACCUGCCGGCAACGAAGGGGAGGGGCCGGAGCGUCAUCCGCGUGAGCCGCGUCAUCUGCGUGAGCCGCGACCAAUCAGAGCAGACUGGGCUUUUCUGGAGGGGGGUCUUAAAGAGACAGGCGCUAAAACCGAGCGAUUCAGACAGAGGCUGAAAAGAGGUGCUCAGCUGUAGGCAGUAUGAGAAAUAUAAUGUGUUUUUUGAACAUUAAAACAUCUAAACCUAUUGUAGGAGAGCCACAAAAUACAAUUAUGAACCUGAAAAAGGGGCAUAAUAUGACUCCUUUAAAGGGGACAUAUUAUGCAAAACCAACUUUUUAAUCAUUUGAUUAUGUACAUUUGGGACUCUGGAGGGCCUAUCAGCAGGCAAAGUGUUCAAUCAUUGGCUGCACAGCCCAACACAAAUUUACAUAUGUACAUUUAUGUACAUUUGUGUAAAUUAUUUUUUUUUAAGGCAAUGUCCGGCUAGAGUCAGAAAAACCGGAAGGUGUCUGAACCUUCCUGUCGGACUGUUUUCACAACCUCGGUCAGUACAACACUGGACUGGCUGAAAGACUGUUCCUGAAAGAGGGAUUGUACCAACUGUCUGUGGAGAGUCGGCAGAGGAAGAAACUGUGACCUAAUGAAGCUCAGGUGUUCCUGGACCCAUCAGAGGACAGAGACAGCUGCAGCAUCAGGACAGUCUGGGUAUCCAAAGGAAGACGCAUCAAGAUGAACACUGACUGCAGAGCUCCAUUACCAACUCACACUUCAAUAUACUUGAAACCAUAAACCUUGAUGUAGGACAGGAUCUGCACAGUUUACAUAAAAGUUAUAGCUUUGUUACUUACAACAUGUGUAACUGGAAUAUGAAUGAAAUAUAAAUAAAGUGUUUUACUUUUAAGAA